rnacentral:rRNA from 1 species
UGCGUAGGCGGUUCGGCAAGUUCGGUGUGAAAUCUCCUGGCUUAACUGGGAGGGUGCGCCGAAAACUGCCGGACUAGAGUGUGGGAUAGGGAAGUGGAAUUCCUGGUGUAGCGGUGAAAUGCGUAGAUAUCAGGAGGAACACCUGCGGUGUAGACGGCUUCCUGGACCACUACUGACGCUGAGGCACGAAAGCGUGGGGAGCAAACAGGAUUAGAUACCCUGGUAGUCCACGCCCUAAACGAUGCGGACUUGGUGUUGGCCCUUCAUUGGGUCAGUGCCGCAGCUAACGCGGUAAGUCCGCCGCCUGGGGAGUACGGUCGCAAGGCUGAA